rnacentral:rRNA from 1 species
UACGGAGGAUGCGAGCGUUAUCCGGAUUUAUUGGGUUUAAAGGGUGCGUAGGCGGAUAUGUAAGUCAGCGGUGAAAUCUCCAGGCUCAACCUGGAACCUGCCGUUGAAACUGCAUAUCUUGAGUAUGGAUGAAGUAGGCGGAAUUCGUUGUGUAGCGGUGAAAUGCUUAGAUAUAACGAGGAACUCCAAUUGCGUAGGCAGCUUACUAAGCCAUAACUGACGCUCAGGCACGAAAGCGUGGGUAUCAAACAGG